UACGUAGGGUGCGAGCGUUAAUCGGAAUUACUGGGCGUAAAGUGUGCGCAGGCGGCCGCGCAAGUCGAGUGUGAAAGCCCCGAGCUUAACUUGGGAAUUGCGCUCGAAACUACGUGGCUGGAGUGUGGCAGAGGAAGGUGGAAUUCCACGUGUAGCGGUGAAAUGCGUAGAGAUGUGGAGGAACACCGAUGGCGAAGGCAGCCUUCUGGGCCAGCACUGACGCUCAUGCACGAAAGCGUGGGGAGCAAACAGG
rnacentral:rRNA from 1 species